AUCAAAGACAUGACAGCAAAAAUCAACUCGACACUAUGAAAUAUACUAUAUAACAAUUGCCUGUUUUAUAGAUGCCAAACUGAUUUUAUAAAAAAGAAUGUAAAAGAAAAUAAAUGAACUAAAAAAAAUUUAGUUUUCUACAAAAAAGCAAAAAGCCUACAGCACCCCGGAUUCCCAUGUUGUCUCCAACCAUAGUACUAACGAGGCCCUCAGACGCUUAACUGCAGUGAUCGGACGGGAACUGGUGUUUUCGCCUAGGUAUGGCCGUAGACAUUUGCUU